GACGAACGCUGGCGGCGUGCCUAAUACAUGCAAGUCGAACGAGUUGCGAACGGGUGAGUAACGCGUGGUAACCUGCCUCAUAGCGGGGGAUCCCUAUUGGAAACGUUAGCCCAUACCCCUUACCUUGAUCUGGACCUGGGUUGUAUUAGCUAGUUGGUGGGGUAAAGGCCCACCAAGGCGACGAUACAUAGCCGGUCUGAGAGGAUGACCAGCCACACUGGAACUGAGACACGGUCCAGACUCCUACGGGAGGCAGCAGUGGGGAAUAUUGCACAAUGGGCGCAAGCCUGAUGCAGCCAUGCCGCGUGUAUGAAGAAGGCCUUCGGGUUGUAAAGUACUUUCAGCGGGGAGGCGUUACCCGCAGAAGAAACACCGGCUAACUCCGUGCCAGCAGCCGCGGUAAUAC
rnacentral:rRNA from 1 species